rnacentral:tRNA from 1 species
GGUCCGUGGUGUAGCGGUUAGCACUGGGGAAUCAGAAUCCUGCGACGGGAGUUCAAAUUUUUCCGGGACCU